UUUCUUUUCUUUUUUAAGUGAGCAAAAGUUGAGCUGAUGAGAACUUAGCCCAUAUGGUUUGUUGUCCCCAGAAUGGAUCAGUUUCAUCAUAGUGCCUGGGCAAUUUCGCUACACAUUAAUGUGAAAUAUUAUGAAUGUUUUAACUAAGCUAUCAACUGUGAAAUAUUUUAUCCAAAACAUUACAAUUACAAAGGUGAUAAUAGAAACAGUUUAAACCAGGAGAGAAUGCUCUGUUAAAGAGGAUUAGAAAGACCAUUUAUUGAAUAGUAUGGAUUUCUCCCAAGCCCCUGUGUGCAGAAAGCAUGCAAUGCGUGAAUAAUUCAUCUAGAAAUUCUAUCGUGAAGUUGUAUCAGUUUCCACAGUAAAACCUGGCCGUGGAGGAGGAAAAUACAUCAACAUCUGUGACAAGCUCUAUGAAGAGACAGUGGCAAAGCCUUUCAGGCACCAGGAGCAAAGCAAAAUAUAAUAAAUUCACUUAAGUGUCAAAUUUGUGUCGGCUGAAUAAUGACACCAUAUGUCUGGGUUGUUAUGUCACCAUAGACUGCUCUGAAAAAAACACAUGGCUUUAUAAAAAUGGCUGUCAGCUGGGGAAGAAACCUUGUUGGCUACUGCCUUCCUGUCAGAGAAAACAGAAGACUGCCCAAUGAGUGCUGUGUCUGAUGAUCAGAAACUAUUGUUUUCUUAAAAAAUCAAUUUGUCCGCAUCUGGAGUCACCCUGCUGUUUGGGCUUGGGAGUGCAAAGUUGAAGAGGCUGUGCUAGUUGCCUUAUCCUUUAAAUGAGGCCUUUCCUGCAUGGGUGCUGAUGAUACGCCUUGUCUUUCUAAAGCUCUCUGAGGGACUCUCCUCAAGGAUCUUUUCUCAUUAAUCCUAACAGCAUCCCCACGAGGAAAUCUAGGACUCAGGUGUUGUUUUGCUCCAGGAUAAACUGAGGCACAGAGAGGUUAUGGUCACAUUGGCCCUUCCGUGGCCCGUUCUGGCAGCAACCCAGAGUUCUUUGCUGCAGGCAGUUAGCAUCCGGCCAGGCAGGCCAGACACUCUAAGAAGGAUUUGCCUUUCUCUCCUGCCGCUCUGCUGGUGUGUACAGUGCUGGCCAUACGCCCAUCUCAUGGCUACUUCCUCACUCUAGAGGUUCUUCCCCUUGGUCCAACAGCCACGUGAGUGGGGAUUUUGCAGAUUGCACAAUGGGAAGCUGGUACGAGAGUUUUCAUGCUUGGAUGCAGGCAGACCCAAUUAUGGUGAUUACGUUCAAGUCAACUGCUCUAAAAGCCUCGGGGCUCUGGAGAGUACAUAGGCCCACCCAUAGGCAAACAACAGCACUGGCUCAGGGCUCUCGGCCUGGAUUUUCCAUCACGAGCAGUCCAGUGGUACUCAGAUUGUGGCAAAGAUGAAGCAUUUGGAAUGCGUUAUACUGAGCUUUGAUCCCAAGGGCAUAGGCAGGACCAAAAAAACUGUGUGAACUAAUUUGUGGCUCAGCAGUAAAGGUGGACAGGUUGGCGGUUUUAACCUACCCAGUGGCUCUGCAGGAGAAAGACCUGGCAAUCUGUUUCCAUAAAGAUUAUAGUCUCGAAAACCCUAUGGGGCAGUUCUACUCUGUCACGUGGGGUUUCUAUGAGCUGAAAACCAGCUCUACAGUGUAUAACAACAUAUUUAUACAUAUUUAUAGUUGCAUGUAAGAGCAUUCCCUUCAAAAUUUAAAAACACCAAACUAACUCUUUUUUUUUUUUGAAUAUAGGUAGUUUUUAUUGUGUUUGUAUUGCUUUUUCUUAAAAAAAAAAUUGUGGUAAAAUAUAUAAAACAAAAAUUGCCAUUAAAAAAUGUUUAAAUGUACAAUUCAGUGACAUUAAUUAAAUUCACUUCAGCAACCAUCACCACUAUCGAUUUCCAAACGUUUUUCGUCACCCAAAACAGAAACUCAGUACCCAUUAAGCAAUAACUCCCCAUUCUCCUCUCCCCAACCCCUGGUAAGCAUUAAUAAACUUUUGUCUCUAUGCCUUUGUCGCUUCUAGAUAUUCCAUGUAAGUGGGAUCAUGCAGUAUUCAUCCUUUUGUGUCAGACAUUUCACUUGGCAUAAUAUUUCAAGAUUCAUCUACAUUACAGUAUGUAUCAGGACUUCAUUUCUCUUUAUGGGUGACGUAAAUGAACAUUUAAACAAUAAUCAUUUUGAGUGGUUCCCAAGAAAAUUAUACAUAUCUGAAUCGCUUGGAGUGCUUUUCCAUGUUUUUUAUGUAUGUAUCUAUGUCUAUGAGCCCUGGUGGGGCAAUGGUUCACUGCUUUGCUGCUAAUCGAAUGGUUGGUGGUUCAAACCCACCAGUGGCUCUGAGGGAGGAAAGACCUGGUGAUUUGCUCCUGUAAAGAUUACAGUCUAGGAAACCCUAUGGGGCAGUUGUACUCUGUCCUACAGGGUUGCUAUGGGAUCAACUCAAUGGCACACAACAACAGCAACAUGUCUUUGCCUAUGUCUCUGACUAUGUCUCCAUCUGUCUUUGUCUCCGUCUCUCUCUCUGUCUUUAUAUACCUAUACCCCUAGAGACUCUGAUUCAGUGGGCCUGGAGCCCAGCCUGGGAACAGAGAUUUUAAAACUCCUCUGACCAGUCACUCUGCUGUGUAAUGAAUGAUGAUUCUUCAGAGGGCUGCGCCUGCCCUAGUUCUUCUACUCUUGCCACUUGGGAGAAUAAAACAUCAAAUGCAAAGUUGUACAGAUAAAAAAGAAUUGUGGUUUCCUGACCAGACAGAGGUGUUUUCCAGUCAGCAGUGUAAUGUAAAGUCACAGAGGAGAUAAUAUAAAUGCAACAGUUCUGACUGACUGACUGAAAAGUGAAGUUUAAGAAAAUGCACACGAAGCCAGGAUAUUUCCGAUCAAUCCCCUCCCCACACCCUAGUCCUUCCCAGAUUUUUGUAGAAUAACCUAAUUCUCUUUAAUUCCCUUGAAACCAGUCCAAGAAUGGAGGUUAUGCAGACUAAAGAUGCUGCAUAUUAAGAAGUGGAAUCUAUUUCUCCACUCCCUUGAACCUGGGCUGAGAACGUGACUGUUGUAAUCAGCAGAAUACAGGAGAAGUGAUGCUGUGUCCCUUCUAGGCCUAAGCCUUUGGAAAGACUGGUUGCUUGUGCUUCAGUCUGGGGUUUUCCUCUCAAAGCCCAGCCACCAUGUUGAUGAGAAGCCCAAACCACGUGGAGAGGCCACAUUUAGGCAUUUUGUCCAAUAAUCUUGGUUAAACUCCUAGCCAAGAGCCAGUAUCAACUGUCAGCUGUGUGAGUGAACUGCUUUGAGUGUUCCAGCCCAAUGAAGCCCCCAGAUGAUUGCAGCCCAAGCCAAUAUCACAUGGGGCAGAAGUAUCACCCCACUGAUCUCAGACAACCCACAGAAUCACAAAAAUUAACAAAAUAGUAGUUGCUUAAGCUACUAAGUAUUGGGGUGGUUUGUUAUGCAACAGUAGAUAACUGAAACAGAAGGUCAGUGUAUUCCUUAGUCCAUACUGGUCUGAAGGUGAAAAACUGGAUCACAAUUAGAAUUUCAAAAUAGUAUUUUUGGCUGUACUUUCACUUACUUUGUGGGAACUUAGUCCUCCCAUAUCUUCCCCACAUAAUUUUUCUAAGGGGUGUCUGGGAUACAUGAGUUGGAAACCAGUCCUUUUGGCCACCAUGUGACACUGGCAGUUUUUUUUAAUUCUCACUCUGAUGAAAUCUCUGAGGUGAUGUCUCAUUUCCCCGCUGAUACUAAGUGUAGUAGCCUGGACCACAAUGUCUCUGAAUCCACGACUGCUAUUGACAGCCAUGAUGACUGUGCUAAGGUUGUGGAUGACCAAGGUGAAGCCCUGAGAUCUAUAUCAGGGUGCCAUCUCCAUUGCUCACGAGGCUGCUGGUAGCAUUGCAGCUUUGUGUUUGAAAGAUCCCAUGAGGAUUCUAGGAAACAGUUCAUUAUUAUAAUAUCCUUAUACUUAAGUAAUAAAUGUUUGUACAAUUGAACUAAGGAGUUGAGUCAUACCAUUCAUAUAUCUUAUUAAUUUCUUGGUGAGGGAGGAUUAAAAAAGAUGUAAAUUAAGAAUGCUGCAGGUGUUGCUGGAUGGUGCGAAUGGUUAAUACAUUUGGCUGCCAACUGGAAGGUUGGCAGUUCAAAUUCACCUACAGGCACUUGGAAAAAAGGACCUGGUGACCUACUUCCAAAAAAUUAGCCAUUGAAAACUCUGUGGAGCACAGCUCUACUGUGACACACAUGAGGUCGCUAUUAGUCGGAACUGACUCAACAGCAACUAGUUUCUAUGUGUUGCUAAAGUUGAAACACUGAGUCUGCCAAGAACCUGACCAGACAAAUUGUUAUAACAGGGUCCAGUUAGGGACACUUCUCAAUCAGGUUUUCCUCAGCAGAAAUUUAUGCUUUACAUGAGUGAGCUAAAAUAUUUGACUUGCUUUCUAUUGUUUAAACAAUACCAGUAGACAAUGAAAGAUUUUUCUCUUUAGAUUUCAACAAUAAUCUUAACAAUGUCCCAGCCUAACAACUAGGAAAUAUUUAAGAAACAAAGGCUUGAAAUCCAGAAGGAAACAGGUUUUAGUGUCUAAGGUACUAAUUAAAUCGAGUUUGGUACCUUAUUUAUUACAACCAUAUCUGGGAAAUAGUUAUAUGUACUCACUUCCUUUUUCUCUCAUCUAAAGGAACUGUGUCUUCUUCUUGGACUAAAGUUGAAACAAAUGUAAGGAAAAGUAAUUGAAGUAUAGGAUCAUUGGUUAAAAAUAUGAGGAUAUACGCAAAUUUAUUGAUAGGAAAAUGGGAGAACAAGAGAGAAUGAGUAAACAUUGGGCAAGAGGGUCAAGAUAGAGUUGUCUUCUGAGAUUAUGUUGCAGAACAGAUCAACUCUCUUGUACGUGUUUUUGGAAGAGUGGAAUAGAGGAGAAAGCCUGUGUUUCCUGGGCAGCCAGGCAUCAAGAGAUUAAUGAGAAAAUGAAGGAGACCUUUCUGCCUGAAACAGAACGCUCUUUGAAGUUCUCCUUGAAGAUACUAAGAGAAACAAGAGCAGAAAAGGAUUCUACUAGCUGAUUAGGCUACUUCCUACAGUAAUACAGUGAUUGGACAAUGAUUAAUCCCCUGUGACAUUGAUGCAUUGUCAGUGGCAUGAAAUAUCUUAGAAAAAUUAAAAGCAAGUCAGAAAGAACUGAAAAAUGAACUUUUUUUUUUAACUUCAAUUAAAAAAAUAAUUUUUGGGCCCACCUUCAGAAAGUCAAAAACUAAUGCUGGAGAAUUAGUGCUAAAUAUUUUUAAAAGUAAACUGUUUGAGUUCCUCUGAGUUGUAUUAAACUUGGUAAUUUUCAUAAUACAGUAUGAAUAGGCCCUCUCUUAGUUAACUUGGCUACUUUUCCUCAUAAUGAACAUCUGGUUAAAUUCUUAUGUACAAAUGUAAAGGAAUUACAUUUUUUGGAGAUACAGUUCUAGGAGUCCACUUGACACUUGGAACUCUCUUUACCUGCCAAAAGAUGCUCUGAUAACUUUCAAAACUUGAGACUUGCUUUGUCAGACACAUUGGCAAUAGGCCUACAUUUGAGGAGUAGGCCUUUUAGAAGUAGGACCCCUUAGCCAAUUUGGAAGAUCAUGAAUUUUUGUUGGAACAAUGAAGUUGAGUUCUAAACCCUUUUACCACAUGUUAUAAAUAUUAACAAUGAAGGUAAUGUGGGUGGUGGAGACUUUUUUGAAAUGGUGAUUUCAAUAUUGGCUGAGAUAAUAAUAAAGUCAUUCACUGAGAAGCAGUACAGGAGGUUAUUUUAGUUUUACAUUUGCUUUAUUUUUAAUAAAGGAAAAAGAACAAGAAACAACUUCAGAAUAGUAAUCAAGUUUAUGGAGGCAAUACUAAUGGGCUAGGCCAAAUUGCACAACUAUUUAUAGUUUGAAAAUUUGAGGAAGAACAUUGGUGAGUAGUCAAGAAGACAGGCUCUGUAGCAGAUUGCCUGGGUUUAAACAAAGCUCUGCCACUUACAAGCUGAGUGAACUUAAGGCAUAUAGAAGUUUCUUUUAGGUCCUUGGGAAGAGGGUAGAGAAUUGAGUGAAUUUCUACAAUUAUCAAUGCAAUCAAGGUGCAUUGGUAAUUACUGGUGAUUAGAAUGUGAAAGUUGGAAAUGAAGAAGAAGGAUCAGUAGUUGGAAAAUAUGGCCUUGAUUAUAGAAACCACACUGGAGAUUGUGUGAUAGAAUUUUGCAAGACCAAUGACUUAUAUUCAUUGUAGAUAACCUUUUUCAACAACAUAAAUGGCAACUAUACAUGUGAAUCCUCACUGGAUGGAAAACACAGGAAAAAAAUCAACUACAUCUGUAGAAAAAGACAACAGAAAAACUCAAUAUCAUCAGUCAGAACAAGACCAGGGGAUGGCUGCAGAACAGACCGUCAAUUGCUCAUAUGCAACGUCAAGUUGAAGCUGAAAAAAUUAAAACAAGUCCACGAGAGCUAAAAAAUGACCUUGAGUGUAUCCCACCUAAAUCUGGAGAUCAUCUCAAGAAUAGAUUUGACACAUCGAACACUAGUGACCGAAGACAGGAUGAGUUGUGGGAUGACACCAAGGACAUCAUACAUGAAGAAAGCAAAAGGUUAUUAAAAAGACAGGAAAGAAAGGAAAGACAAAAAUGGAUGACAGAAGAGACUCUGAAAUUCGCUCUUGAAUGUAGAGUAGCUAAAGCAAAUGGAAGAAAUGAUGAAGUAAAAGAGCUGAACAGAAUAUUUCAAAAGGCAGCUUGAGAAGACAAAGUAUUAUAGUGAAAUUUGCAAAGACCUAGAGUAAGAAAAUCAAAAGGGAAGAACACUUAGCAUUUCUCAAGCUGAAAGAACUGAAGUCAAGCUUCGGGUUGCAAUUUUGAAGGAUUUUGUAAGCAAAAUAUUGAACGACACAGGAAGCAUCAAAAGAAGAUGGAAGGAAUACACACAGUCACUCUACCAACAAGAAUUGGUUGACAUUCAACUGUUUUAGGAGGUACCAUAUGAUCAAGAACCGAUGACAUUGAAGGAAGAAGUCCAAGCUGCCCUGGUAAAAAACGAGGCUCCAGGAACUGACGGAAUACAAAUUGAGAUAUCUCAACAAAUGGAUGCAUCACUGGAGGUGCUCACUUGUCUAUGCCAAGAAUUUUGAAAGACAGCUACCUGGCCAUCAGAUUGGGUGAGAUCCUUAUUUGUGCCCAUUCCAAAGGUGAUCCAAUGGAGUGUGGAAAUUAUAGAACAGUAUCAUUAAUAUCACACACAAGUAAAAUUUUGCUGAAGAUCAUUAAAAAAUGGUUGCUGCAGUACAUUGACAAAGAACUGCUAAAAAUUCAAGCCAGAUUUAAAAGUGAAUAUGGAAUGAGGGCUUUAUUGCUGAUGUCAGAUGGAUCUUGGCUGAAAGCAGAGAAUACCAGAGAGACGUUUACCUGUGUUUUAUUGACUAUGCAAAGGCAUUCGACUGUGUGGAUCAUAACAAAUUAUGGAUAACAUUGUGUGAAGAAUGGGAAUUCCAGAACACUUAAUUGUGCUUAUGUGGAACCUGUACAUGGGCCAAGAGGCAGUCAUUCAAACAGAACAAGGGGAUAGUAUGUGGUUUAAACCUAAGAAAGAUAAUACAACCUUGCUUGCUGAAAGUAAAGAGGACUUGAAGUCCUUACUGAUGAAGAUCAAAGAUUAGAGCCUUCACUACAUCUCAACGUAAAGAAUACAAAAAUCCUCACAACUGGACCAGAAAAUAUUAUGUAUGCAAUUUCAACAUUUUCCAAACUGCGAGACAUUCAGCUGAUGACUCCGCUUCUUUGUCUCCAGCCACUCCGUCUUUUGGGUGUAAACCAUACAGUUCCCCUUCUUAGCUCACAGGGUGACUUGUGAGAGAGCUCGUAGACAUGCUAUUGCAGUAUGUGUACCUCAUGUCUUCCUCCUAUAAGGACCUGAUGGCUUCCUGUGAGAACAGCUGAAUCUCCUCUCAUGCCAUGUUCCUGGUGCACAUGGGAAUGGAUGACAUAUUAAGCUCUUUCUAUUCUAUGGGGUUUAAGUCACUAAUGUGCUAGAUGGUCAAGUAUAAGAAUUACAACAUUAGACUUUCAUAGAAGGUCUCUCAAAGGACCUUGUUAGAAGCCGUGUGUUUUUACACUGUGAAUGCCUUAUAAGGACAGCUAUGAAAAUGUUAACCAAUACAAAAGGUCAUUUUGAACACUAGGAAAGAGUACCAGAAAUCAAGUAAAGGAUAUGCAUUGAAUUCUAGUUUGACUUCAAACUAGCUGUAUGACCUUGAGUAAGCCAACUGAGUUUUCUGAGCCUCAGUUUAUCCAUUCAUUAAAUGGAACAAAUCACAAAUUUACAGGGAUUAAACAAGAUAUCAAAAAAUCAUUUUGAAAAGUGUAAUGCUCUUUAUUGGCAUAAUAUGAUGGGGUGUAAGAAAAGAUGCACCUUCUGGAUGGUGGUACAUUUUCUAUUUUGACCAAUGGAAGAACAGGAGAAUGGGUUUACUUUGUAGGAGGAGGAAAGUAGGUUAGGCAUAAUGUAGCAUGUAGGAAAAAAACAUUGGUCUGGAAUGAGAGAGUUAACCUUUUAAUCUUGCUUCAGUCAUCUCCUGUCUGUGUGAUCUUGGGCAAUUCAUGGAAGAUUAAGCCUUUUGGGGGAGCUUAAACCUGUUGCCAUUGAGUUGAUUCCAACUCAUAACAACCCAAAGGACAGAGCAGAACUGCCCCAUCGAGUUUCCAAAGAGUGCCUGUUGGAUUUGAACUGCUGAUCUUUUGGUUAGCAGCCGUAGCACUUAACCAUUAUGCCACCAGGGUUUCCUUGGGGGGUCUUAAUUACCUAAUUUCUAAAACAAAGAGGUUUUAACAAAAUGUUUCUCAAAGUCUUUCUUCCACUCCUAUGAUACAUGAUGUAUGUACAUAUAUAUAUAAAUAAAAAACAAACCCAUUGCUGUCGAGUCCAUUCCAACUCAUAACAACCCUAUAGGACAGAGUAGAACUGCCACAUAGAGUUUCCAAGGACUGCCUGGUGGAUUCAAACUGCUAACCUUUUGGUUAGCAGCCAUAGCUCUUAACCAUCAUGCCAACAGGAUUUCCAUAUAUAUAUAUUUAUAUUUAUACACACACACACAUAUAUAUACAUAUAUACAUACAACAGAACACUUAUGUAUAUACAUGUAUAUACAUACAACAGAACACUUGAGAACUACCUGUAUUUAUGGAGAUAUGUACAUUUUAAAUUAUGCUGAACUUCAUCUGUCAUGAAUAGUAAGUGCUAUCUACCUGGGAAGUGAAAAAAAAAUCUGCUAAUUUCUCUCUGGAGUUCCCUACAGCCUACAGGUUUUCUGGUACCUGGAGCCUUGGUGGCGCAGUGGUUAAGAGUUUGUCUGCUAACCAAAAGGUCAGCAGUUCGAAUCCACCAGCCACUCCUUGGAAACCCUGUGGGGCAAUUUUCCUCUGUCCUAUAGGGUCACUAUGAGUUAGAAUCCACUUGACAGCAACAGCUUUGGGUUUUGGUCUUUAUUUUGAACUGUUUGUAGAUAGAGAGAAUGUAUAUUUUUAAUUCAAUAGACACAUGCUCUGGUGAGACCUUUGUCUCAAGUAAAAGUAAGGUAAACCUCACUGUAUACUUUGAGAAAAUGUUUUGCUUAUUUUGAGUCUGGCCUUGUUACAGCAAUCUUGAAAAAAAAAAAGUUAUACAUACUGCAGUGGGUUGAAUAGUGGUCCCUCAAAAGAUAUGUCCAUCCAUACCUUUGGUAUCACCUUAUUUGGAAAAAAAAUACUUUGCAGAUGUAAUUAAGUGAAGGAUAUUGAGAUGAGAUUAUCCUGGAAUCGGGUGAGACCUAAAUCCAGUGACAAAUUUUCUUACCAGAGAAAGGCAGAGGGAGAACUGAGGCACACAAAGCAGAGGACUAAGUGAAGAUGGAGGCAGAGACUGGAGUGAUGCAGCCACAAGCCAAGGAGCCACCAGAAGCUGGAAAAGACAAGGGAGGACUCACUCCUAGAGCACAGCCCUGCCAACACCUUGAUUUCAGACUUCAGGCAUCUAGAUCUUGAGAGAAUAAAUUUCUGUUGUUUUAUGCCACUUCGUGGUAAUCUGUUGCUGCAAUCCUAGGAAAUUAAUACACGUACUCCUUUUCUUCUUUCAUUAUAAACCUUUUUCCCACUGGAUACAUUAACUAGAUUUAAAUGAUUUUAAACUAUUGCAGAAAAGUAGGCAUAUUUCUAGAGUUAAAUACCUAAGUUAUAGGUGCUUAUGGCAUUGAAGGGUUAAUAGCUAUCAGCAUGCCAAUAUGUUUUUAGUUUCUUAUUGAGAGGAGUUUUCUGGGUUGUCAGAGAAGUACUUAUAAAAAUUCUCAACAGUACCUCAAUAUCAGCAGAGGAUUUUCUAAAGAGAAGCCUUUUCCUGACAAUAAUGAAUGAUUCUCCCUUAAUCUUAAGUAACCAAAAAAAGAAAAAAAACAAACCCAGCACCGUCGAGUCGAUUCUGACUCAUGGCGACCCUAUAGGACAGAGUAGAACUGCCCCAUAGAGUUUCCAAGGAGUGCUUGGCGGAUCCAAACUGCCGACCCUUUCUUUGGUUAGCAGCCGUAGCACUUAACCAUUACACCACCAGGGUUUCCAAUCUUAAGUAAAAGUGGACCUAAAUGAGGAAGGUCUGCAUGUCCAUGAUUAUCACCCCGACAAUAUUUAAUGUCAGAUAGGAUCAUUCCAUGACAGAAGAGAGUGGGAAAUUAUAUGUACACAUAAAUGUGUAGAUGUAUGCAUGUAUGUGCAUGUGUGUGGUAUGUGUAUAUGCAUGUAUAUGUUUAAAUGCUUAUUAAUAAAGAGGGUUAAACCCAUUGCUGUCCCAUAGCAACCCUACAGGACAGAGUAGAACUGCCCCACAGGGUUUCCAAGGAGUGGCUGGUGGAUUUGAACUGCCAACAUUUUGGUUAGCAGCCAAACGCUUAACCACUGUGGGUUAAGAGGGUUAAUAUACUUCAUCACCUUGCUUCUUAUGAUGAAGUCAGUGAAAAGUCUCUGAGAAAGCUCUUUUUUCAGAAAAUGCCAUGGGCCACAUUGAUGUAAGCGGACAUAAAUGAAAUAAAGUGUUGCUAUAUUUUUUUUAUAGUUGCCAGAAAAGUUCUCAUUUCUCUCACAGAUCUAAGAUUCAUCCAGUUAAUACGAAGACAGGAUUCUGUUCCUUUAUUUUGUUCCCUACAAAGUACUUAUUACCUAUCUGGAACUUUGUAAUCUUCACCAUGCAGUUCUGUGAGUCACACAGCUGAGAAUCGUUCUGUUUACUUAUAUACAGUUGCCUAAUGUGCGUUAGAACUCAUAUAUAAUUACAGUCAAUGUGUGUUUCUAAAGAUAAACUUGUGGUAAGCUUGGGCUCUUCUGCUGCUACAAAAAUGUUCACAUGAAGGAAAAAAAAGUUUCUUUUGACAAUAUUUAAAUCCUUUUUCAACCAGAGAAAAAUUUAUUUACGUUCACCUUUAAAAUACACCUUGAUGAGGAUGCAGACAGACGCCGAACAUUGCUAAAGGCUAUUUCCUGGCUUGGGAAUUGGAUUGAGCUGGCUGACUGAACAGUUCAGUGACAUGGAUUUAGAAGGACUGCACUUCCCUCAGACAAGAGGAAUCAUGAGAUAAGCUCUGGAAGCAAGUCAAGGAUUUUUGUGGUGAAACUUAUGUGGUCCCACUGAGCAGGAGAACUUGUAGGCAGUCUUUUUUUUUUUUUUAAUUGAUUUUGAAAUUGAGGUUUACGAACCACAAAGAUUGCCUGCAGAUGUUAACAGUCCUCUUUAGGUGUUAAUUGGCAAAAAGGUAAUUUAAUUGGCAAAAAGCUAAAUUAGCACAGAGAUGUAGAAGAAGGAUGACAUCAGGCCAACAGACAGCUAAAGAAUUUUCUUGCACAAGGUUACUUCCCUUUUCAGAGAAAAAUAUUUUUUUGGCAGUUAGAGAAUUCUUUUUCUAAUAGCACAUUCUCGUUUUUGAAAUUAUUAGCAGAAGGCUUGAGGUGGCAGUGCAGCCACAUGAGGCUCUAGCCCCGUUUGGGGCCACCUCCCACAUUCCCGUAGUUUGAGAAAUAACUCUUUGCCUGAAAAAAUUGGGAGGAAGCCCAGUUCUGGCCACGGAGGGCGCUGACAGCGCUUUGAAGGGAAUGGCACCUGCCCUUGGCGCCUGGCCUGAGGCAACAUGGCGCUGAAGCUUCAGCGCUGAGUCUGGCGGCGUGGGCUGGAGUUUUCCAGUUGCGUGGGAGAACUCGGUCCUUACGCAACGACUUUCGCUAGUACAUGUUUUGGGUUUUGCCCAUAUAUGCAACUCCAAACCCAAAAAUGUAAGGCUCAUUUGUGGUUACUAGGAUGGAACCUGAUGGAAAAUUUGAGCAAAAGCACAAAAAAUUCAUGUUAAAAAAAAAAAAAAUCCUUUGG